UAAAAUUCAUACGUCAUAUAAUAUAGGUGCCAUGAGCCUAAUUACAUCAGGAGGGCUAAAGAUAUUCGUUCGACCCAACCCAUUCGAAUUUUUUCAAUUUGAUAUUGCUGAUUGACAAAAGUGUAUGAAUAUGAUUCAAAAUCUAACACUGAUUCUAGAAAUGGUAACUACUGAACUUCCUGUGCCCAAAUUGGGAAGAUAUAUCAAUGAUUUGGAACUAUUUUUUGACUGGCGGAAGAAUUGGGGCUAUUUUACUGUUUCAGUUGAUGAAUUUGAUCCCAUCAUAGUUAUCUUCAUAAAUGGCGAUUUAUUUUUAAAAUGAGCUGGCUACGAUACCCUUCUCUGGUCAGAUAUAGAAUGUCAGAUAUAUAUCCUAUCCAAAGGUAGUAAACAUUCGACCUCCUAAUUUCACAUUUAUUUUGUAUGAAUUUUUUUAAGUGCCAUUUUAACACACAAGUCUAUGGGGAAUGUUUUACGCGCGUGAGACCCUUAGCUAGAGCAACACGCUUGUGUGUUGCUGCCCUCUACGUUCGUUGGCUACGAACAAAGAAGGAAAAUGGCGUCAAAGUCGUUUCUCCACAGAUCGAUGGGAAGACACCAGUAAAAUCGCGGCAUGGUUCCAGCCCUUACCUGUCCGUUGCUAUGAAAGCAAAUUUGGCGGCAUGGGAACAGUGGAUGGCAAAAUUCGGGGUGAAGAGACUAGAGUUUCAGCAGAUGAUUCAAAAUUAAUUGUCGGUCUCGUCGUUAUUUUGUCUUUCUUUCCCUUUUAAUUUUUCUCGUUCAUUUUUGAAGGAUUUAAAGGACCAUUGAUGUAGUAAAGGAAAUGACAAUAGCGAGGGCAGUAGUUUUGUGUUUUAAUAUGGAACCAGUAAAUGAUGAUAUUGAAGGAAGUUGCAAUAAAACAAGGAGCAUAAUUAUGAAAAGGAUAGUGUAAGAAUAAUAGAUUAAGGCCAUUAUGAUGAAAUUAAUUUAUGUACAUUAUCUUCAUUCAAAUUAUUUCAUCAAGAAGGCGUACCACACUUGUAUUCAAGAAAGAUUUAGCAUUGAGUGAAUUAAAGAUAGUCUUCAAUGACCUCUUAUAUCACUAUGUUCCCUAAAACUUUGUUUGAUUUAUCAAAGGAAUGAUAUGAAAUCCUUAUUUCCUCUUCGCUUUCCCUAUAUCGGAGGCCGACGUAGAUCUUAUAAGUAUCAUUGAGCCAUUAAUUUUAUUGUAAAAAAUAAACUAAUAUAAAAUCCAAGAAAUUACAAAGAAAAUAUAUAUUCUACGCAGUUGUUACGCCCUGGUACUAAUUAUUUUGCAGUACAAGAAUUAUUUUUACAUUCUAUUGUUUGUAUUCAUAUCAUUCUUAAUUUUAUAUAAAUUUUAUGUAUUGUACGUAGAUGGCCAAACAGUAAAUUUUGUUACAGAGUAUUUGAUUUAUUGAUUUCUUUCCAUUUAUGAAAGACAAGAGUAUGAAACUUAUUUGCCAUUUGUAUUAAUUCUACAUUCACCUUGCCAUUCAUUUCAUGGACUGAAAAAAAUAAACAACAUCUUGACUGCAAAGA